AAAGCAGAAUUUAUAAAUAACGUGUUGUUCCUUGUAGUAUACUUUUCAAACGACAUCUUCAUCAAGUAGGUAAGAA
ensembl:misc_RNA